rnacentral:rRNA from 1 species
GACAAUUUUAUACAGGUAAAUUAACGCGAAARGAACUUACCAUCCUUUGACAUGGCGUGUUACGUGGAGAGAUCCACGGUCUCCUUCGGGAGCGCGCACACAGGUGCUGCAUGGCUGUCGUCAGCUCGUGUCGUGAGAUGUUGGGUUAAGUCCCGCAACGAGCGCAACCCACGUCCUCAGUUGCCAUCAUUCAGUUGGGCACUCUGGGGAGACUGCCGGUGAUAAGCCGCGAGGAAGGUGUGGAUGACGUCAAGUCCUCAUGGCCCUUACGGGAUGGGCUACACACGUGCUACAAUGGCGGUGACAGUGGGACGCGAACCCGCGAGGGCAAG